AUUGAACGCUGGCGGCAGGCCUAACACAUGCAAGUCGAGCGGAUGAGUGGAGCUUGCUCCAUGAUUCAGCGGCGGACGGGUGAGUAAUGCCUAGGAAUCUGCCUGGUAGUGGGGGACAACGUUUCGAAAGGAACGCUAAUACCGCAUACGUCCUACGGGAGAAAGUGGGGGAUCUUCGGACCUCACGCUAUCAGAUGAGCCUAGGUCGGAUUAGCUAGUUGGUGAGGUAAAGGCUCACCAAGGCGACGAUCCGUAACUGGUCUGAGAGGAUGAUCAGUCACACUGGAACUGAGACACGGUCCAGACUCCUACGGGAGGCAGCAGUGGGGAAUAUUGGACAAUGGGCGAAAGCCUGAUCCAGCCAUGCCGCGUGUGUGAGAAGGUCUUCGGAUUGUAAAGCACUUUAAGUUGGGAGGAAGGGCAGUAAGUUAAUACCUUGCUGUUUUGACGUUACCAACAGAAUAAGCACCGGCUAACUUCGUGCC
rnacentral:rRNA from 1 species